rnacentral:rRNA from 1 species
UACGGGGGAGCAAGCGUUGUUCGGAUUUACUGGCGUAAAGGGCGCGUAGGCGGCGCAACAAGUCACUUGUGAAAUCUCCGGGCUUAACCCGGAGCGGUCAAGUGAUACUGUCGUGCUAGAGUGCGGAAGGGGCUACUGGAAUUCUCGGUGUAGCGGUGAAAUGCGUAGAUAUCGGAGAGGAACACCCUGCGGCGAAGGCGGGUAGCUGGGCCGAACACUGACGCUGAUGCGCGAAAGCCAGGGGAGCGAACGGG